AAGGAUCAGAUAAUGAAGAGCUAGCUUCAGUGAAGACGGCCGGUUAUAUAUCCUAGCAAGCAACGCUCCGGCUACAAGGCAAAGCAACACUUGCUUGUCCAGUAAGUGAAGGAAGCGGCAGCUGUCCAUCAUCCCUCAUUCUCAGUUUGGGGUCCUGGGCCUGUGGCUGUGGUGGAGAGAGGUCAGGAGUGGAGCGAGGUCGGAGGAGGUCACCACACCAGCAGCGGCGACGACGAUGCUGAUCCUGGACCUGGCGAUCUGGAUCAUCCCGGUGACGCUCGUCCUCGUGCCGUUCCGGCGGCUGGUGGUCCUGGUGGCCAGGCUGCAGGAGCUGGAGGAGUGCAUCAUGCGGCCGCGGCCGCCGCUCAUGGACUCGUGGGCGUGGGGCCGCGUCGGCGGCCUGCACACCAUGAGCAUCAUGAUGUGAGGUGGGGAAGUCAAGCGAGGGCGCUCAAGGUUCGAAUUCGAACCAUGUAUAAGCUGCAAUGGAGCUCAAGGUUUUUACCUAGGAUGUAGGAGCUUCUUCCCGGUUGGUAAACGGUAACCGAGUUCAUAUCUCUCGGUCAGUAUGGUAUGGGUAUGGAUAUACUCCGAUCCUGUCAUCUUCUUUUUUCUUUCUGAAUAUGUUAAUUGUGCAAUGGUGGCCCUGUAUGUAAGAAAAUGUAGAUAUAUCUGCAGUCCUGUGUACAUGUCAUUCAGAAACGGAGCACCUGCUGGCGCCCGUUGUACCUGAACUCUCAUUCACAA